CAGCGCUCUGGGAAAAGACUAGUUGUAAGCACUAGAAAAGAAAAAAAAGCAAACUAAUUAGAGUGUGCUUACCUGGUGAAACCAAAAUGAAAUACCAUGCUGUCGUGCAGCUGUGGCUGAGAAUGAUGCAAUUCCUACAGCAAGUCAGCGUCCACUUGGACUGCACUGCAGAUGGCUGGAGCGCUGCUGGUGGCAGGGUCCACUAAGGACCCUUCCUCCCCCUCCCCUAAGUACAACAAAUCAUGGAGGGAGUGAAAUGUGGAAACUCGGGAAGACAGGUACAAAGAGAAAUACUUCCUCACUGACUUUUUGGGCUUGCUAGUGAGAUUUCUACAUGUGUUGCCUAAAUUCAACUAUGAAAAUAAACAUAAGCAUUUAUCAGGUGA